AGAUCCAGCUUGCUGGAUGCUGACGAGCGGCGGACGGGUGAGUAAUGCAUAGGAAUCUGCCCGAUAGUGGGGGAUAACCUGGGGAAACCCAGGCUAAUACCGCAUACGUCCUACGGGAGAAAGGGGGCUCCGGCUCCCGCUAUGGGAUGAGCCUAUGUCGGAUUAGCUGGUUGGUGAGGUAACGGCUCACCAAGGCCACGAUCCGUAGCUGGUCUGAGAGGAUGAUCAGCCACAUCGGGACUGAGACACGGCCCGAACUCCUACGGGAGGCAGCAGUGGGGAAUAUUGGACAAUGGGGGAAACCCUGAUCCAGCCAUGCCGCGUGUGUGAAGAAGGCCCUCGGGUUGUAAAGCACUUUCAGCGAGGAAGAACGCCUAGCGGUUAAUACCCGCUAGGAAAGACAUCACUCGCAGAAGAAGCACCGGCUAACUCCGUGCCAGCAGCCGCGGUAAUACGGAGGGUGCAAGCGUUAAUCGGAAUUACUGGGCGUAAAGCGCGCGUAGGUGGCUUGAUAAGCCGGUUGUGAAAGCCCCGGGCUCAACCUGGGAACGGCAUCCGGAACUGUCAAGCUAGAGUGCAGGAGAGGAAGGUAGAAUUCCCGGUGUAGCGGUGAAAUGCGUAGAGAUCGGGAGGAAAUACCAG
rnacentral:rRNA from 1 species